rfam:Salmo salar isolate Sally breed double haploid chromosome ssa25, whole genome shotgun sequence.
AAUGAACCAAUUUGUAAGUCGCUCUGGAUAAGAGCGUCUGCUAAAUGACUUAAA